UAGUUCAGUUGGUAGAAUGUUUGCUUUGCAUGCACAAGGCCCUGGGUUCAAUCCCCAG
rnacentral:tRNA from 1 species